GGGGGGGGCUGCCCAGGCAUCGGGGUGGAGUUGAGGCUCACAUCCAGAUGUCUUAUGACUCCCAAGUGCAGAGGGAGCUCCUUCCAAGAUCACUCAUAAUGCUCAAGGAGCUGGGACCCCAUGUGUGACUGGUUCCUGCUCUGAGACACACAGUAGAGACAGGGAGGUGGUUACUCUGCUGGACUGUACUAAAUGAACAGCUGGACCAUCUUCAUCCCCUGUGAUGUACACUUGGUUGGGUGAGUGGGGCUUGGCUCACAGAAACCCACGGGCAGACUAGCUAGCUUUCAUUUUCUACUGUCUAUCAAAAAUAAUCCAGUCACCUGCUUUUCCCACUGGGCCAGCCAGAAGGGAGAACUCCACGCUGACACCUGCAGGCGAAGACGCAGAAUGCACCUCCUCGGCCACGGAUGGCACCCCUCUCCACCCAGACUCCCCAGCCUGCCGGCUCCAACACCAGAGAAAGAUGGGCAGCCAGAGCUGACUAAAUGGCCUUAUCGGCACGCCCAGCACUCGGCUAACUUCUUAGGCAUUUCUGACAAAGCUACAGAGAGAAAACCUUAGCUAACUGCUCACCAGCUGCCAAGACGCCUUUAUCCAAAACACCAGGCUAGCCCAAUGACAUUUUAGGCCUUUACAGACCAACAACCCCAUUUUGACUUUCCGUGGACAAGUUAGUUCUUCAGGUAACCUGGAUAAUAGGAUUAAAAAAAGAAAAGUAAACAGUAAAAAAAAAAAAUCUUUAGAAGUUACCAAAGGCAGAGGAAAAUUCUGCUACCAACCUGUCUGGGGUGCGGUGUGCGGUGGGGGCCUGGGGUAACUUUACUUAACACUCCCCAUUCUUAAACGUACUCCACCGAGACUGGCUGACACCUUUCACCAGAACAUGGAGGAAAUAAUCAUUUUAGAUCAAAUCCAGAACCCAAAUUCAAACCCAAAGAGGCCGACUCCACGGCUUGUUUACCCUUCCUUCCUUCCUUCACCGACAGAAGGUUAAUACGAGAGCAACUCCUUGGCAGACCUUUAUGAGUAGCUGAAGCGACACAGAUGCGAAUCAAUGCUCCUUUUGUGAACGCAUUACUUGGCAGAAACUGGCUUUCUGAAACCCCCUUAAACACGGCCAGCGAAACAGAAAGAAGGGGGGACGUGUCCUUCAAACAAAGGGAUGAGGUGAAAAUAAAGAGUCGACUGCGCUUCAUUCUUUUUCAUAGAAGCAAAUGGAUCUGGGGCUUUUAUACAUUAAUCAAUCAAUAUCACUGACUGUACAUCAGCGGGGUAGCCAAGUUAUGAACGACCUUUCUGGCCAAGAGGACACUUUUAAUGCUCCUAAGACUGCUCAUAGCUUAGCAGCUUCCCGAAUUUGUGCCUGCAUGAUUACCCCUUGGAGGCGAGAGGCCGUUCGCGCCGCCACACUAAAUAAGGCAAGGUGAGUCGUAUCCAAUUUGCGCACAGAGGAGGAGAGACUUGGACCUGACCACCCAAGUUCAUGCAUGAGCUGCUGCAACCUGGGUGAUGCCAAGGGACCUGGCCUGGCCUCCCUCUGGGAAGAGGAGCCUGCCAGGCCUCCUGGGCAGUUGCGGGCUAAUCUAAACAUGGAGGCUGGAGGCAGCUAGGCUGGAAGGCUGCGCUUAGCUCACCUCCUCUCAGCUCCUGAGCCCUCUGUGCUGGUGGACAGCUGCACCGGCCACUGUGGGCAUCCCCAGGCCUCUCCCUAGAUCAUCCUAGGUCAUCCCCAAGAAUCCUCCCCAUCCUCCCUGGGCUCCUCCUAAAAGGGGCCAGACUUUCACCUUUCUGAGUUGUUUUUGACUUCCCUGUAGGGAUACACAGAAGGGUAUCUUACACUCUCCACAAGCGCCCAACCUGAAGAAACAAACUUGGGCUAGUUCUCCUUAUUCUCCUGUUACCAACUCAGCCAUUCCAUUCAAGCCUCAAAGGCCAAACAAACAGUUCCCUCAAUUUCAUUCUUAGCGGGUGGAAAUGGGUGAAGGGCCAUGUGUGGUUUGGAGAUUUCUAUGACAACCGAAUGGUAUCAGGGAGGCACAUGGGACAGGACAAAACCCCAGCCACUCCCCCUCUCUACUUUAUUCCUGGCUUCUAUCUCCUUAGCUGUGGCAACAGCACCGGCAGAGGCCUGGUGGUCUCCAUACAAGGCCCCUCUUUCCUGUCACCCAUAGGAAGUGAGAAACAAAGCCUUUGAAGAAUCUUAAAUUUAUCACAGAAGUCACAGGCAAUGGGGUGCUGGGCCCCAUCAAAUGCAGGGGAUUCAGGGUAAGAAGUGACACCACCCCUCAGCCUACAGAUUCUCCCAGCCACGCAGGAGUGGGACAGGACACAGCUUAGAGGAGAUGGGACUGUUUGCUGUCACUAUUUCUGGAUUUGGCCACUUACAGUUCUCAGGAGACAGGAGGUCACCUCCAGUACUGCUUUUGCCAGGCUCUGGGUCCUGGGCCACAAGAGAGACCCAGAGCUGCAGAACACAUUAUGGGAGGCUGGAGAGAACCAGAUGGAGCCUCAUUUUGAUGAAUUAUUUUAAACAGAAGACGGAACAUUUGCCUACGAACCUGGACAGGUAACAUUCACAUUCGUGAACUUGUGACUUAGGGAAUUCUACUGUGGUGCAUCUGCGGGUGACUGCCAUACACGCCCAGGCAGAGCUGAAAUCGGACACCCUGGGGAGAACCAGGUAAACCAUGAAGAAGGGAGGUCAGAGGGAGUUUCUCGGAGCUGAAAUGUGCCGGAGUGCUCGCUCGGCACAGUUACAAGGCCCGGAUGGCAAACGUCGCUGAAGAUCCAGUGUUGAAACUUGGUCCUUCAGCGGUUGGUCAGUGGGUCUGAGGAUCAGGAGGACCCUACGCUGUCCUCCAUCCAACAAAGGAUUAAAUUCAUAGUUGAAUGGGUUGUUGGGAGGCCGGACCUGGUCGGAGUCAUUAAAGAGUAUGCUUGUGAGAGUGUAUCUUGUCCCCAGGUAUCUGUGUGUUCUCCUACCCCACCGCGUCCCACUUCCGGCUACCAUAAACUGAAGAGGGUCCUCCACCAUCUGUUCCUGACACAUUCAUUCUCUGCUCCCAUCUCGUGUCAAGAGCCAGCCAGCUGUGAGCUGAAACCUCCAAAACCGUGAGCCGAGAUAACCUACCAUCUUAGAAACAGCUCCUCUGGGAAACCCCUCCAUAAUGACGCCACGCUAACGCCCUAGGUGCGCCUGCACUAGUACAAAGUCCAGCUAUCCCUGUCUGGCUGACAGUGCUGCUGCUGGAUGCUCUCCUGUGUUGGGCUAUGCUGGGUGCAGGGGCUGGCCAUUUCCUCCAGGAAGAAAGCCAAACCUAAGGACAGCACAGAGUGCCAAUCUGCUGGCUGGAAUCAGGAGAUGGGGUUGGUACAGGAAACAGGAAGAGAGGAAAGCCUUGCGUCUGAGACGGAGAGGGCUGACUAUCACCAGUGACCAAGGAGGCAGGUUACCUUGGGGGUGUUGGGAGAACCCUCUGGCCUGUAACAGACCAGAGCUGACACGAUCGGGGACUGCCAUUUCCCAGUUCCACUGACCAAGGCUUAUACCUGCUCUCCCUCUCCAGGGCCACUUCUCAAGUGGGCCAAGAGCGUGGUGACGCCACUUGGGGGUAUCUGAAACAUGGAAUCUGGGAGAAGGCUUCGCUUGCACUCACAGGUGGAGAAAAUGCCUGGCUAAAGGAUUUGUGACUAAAGACCAGAAAGAUAACUCGAUACGGCCACUGAGCACCAAAGUAGAAGGAAAAAAUUAAACAGCAAAGCAAAAACGACACAAAAAGAUCCAAAAGGAAAGGGAGGGUGACAUUUUUUUCUCCCUUGGCAGACAGACAGAGAGUGUGAACAGGAAAUUACGGGGCCAAAAGGAACACACCAUGGCUCGGGGCUAAGCUCUUCCGUAUACAGCCGCUCAGCUACCUGUCCCUAAGCACACGCACACACACACGCAUAUGGGUGAAAUGACUGAGGCUUUGGAAGUGAGCAACUGGGAGCAUGAAAAGGGGCAGGUGGGGUGUGUGUGUGUGUGUGUGUGUGUGUGUGUGUGUGUGUGUGUGUACACGCUCGCUUUAUGCACUGUUCUAAGGUAAGGAGUCAUUUCUUCAUUGGACUUUCUGAGGGGCUCAAGAAGCCUCAGACUAUGCCAUGAGACUGAGGCCACCAGACUCACAGAGGAUCCCAGCUCCUGUGCGACUCCAUAGUUGGGUCUGAUCUCAAAGCCCACAGUGUCCAUUGCUUGACAUCGAGGUGAAAGAGCACAAAAGGGUCGCCUCAGAGGUAAGCGGAUAUGGAUAGACACGGGAUGGGUGCCGGGUCGUAGAAAGUGUCAGAGGACAUUCACGGAGCCCUUUUGCUCCCUCCGAGAGGGCUUUCAAAGCGGUCUCGGUGUCUUUGAAGAUACUCGGUGCACAGCAGUGGAGCUGACCCCACCACCGCAGGUCUCUCAUCCACACGGGCACACAGAUUCAGUCUGCGGCUCCAGCUAUACCAAAAGUCACAAAAUGACCAGCCAACUGCGGGAUAAGCCUUAAGAACUCGACACCCGGACUCUCUGAGUCUGCCUUCCACAAAAGGAAAAGUGAGUAUGAAUAGGUACAUUCUUUGGGGGAGACAGGGUCCCUUGUUCUUAUGGUCAACCCCUAACCAAUACACGCACGACAGUUCUGAAAGACAAAUAGCGAGUGUGCACUGCACCUCAUUUUAGAUGUCGACCGCUUCUACAGCAAUUCAGACCACACUUCAUUGACAUCGGGGAUUUCCCAUCAUGGACAGAACAAAACAGGCUGGGAAGCCUCAGCCUCUGGUGUCACUAAGAGAGCCGGAGGCUCUGUGGUUGGAAUUCUUAGCAUCGGGUCCAGAGCAUCGAAACCUUGACACCCAUAAGCUGCCCAGUCAGAGGCUCCGCACUGAUUCUGCUCCACAGAGAGCUGAUAAUGGUGGCAUGGCGUACCACAGGAUAGCUGUGAGCAGUUCGCCAAUUUUAGAAAAACUAGCACCUUUCAGUCUAGGUAGGGAAGAGUCUAGAACGGUACCACCCAGCUGAGGACAUGUGGAAAAGUGUGUGAGUGAACUUCCAGGCAUGGGUGAGUGGGAGAGACACACCCCCUUUCAAAGGCUGCAAUGAAAGGCAUUGUAAUCCAAAGAGCUGGUGUUUUCACCCAGUGGUGAGUUAAACGUUUCCAUCCGCUGCUGACCUGCUGACCACGCUUCAAAUGAGCUGUGUACAUCUGUUUGGGCUGGAUCAACCUGGUUUUCCUCAUUUUUUGUCAAACCUCCCAAGUGAACCAAAGGACAGUGUAUGUGUGUGUGUGUGUGUGUGUGUGUGUGUGUGUGUGUGUGUGUGUGUGCGCGCGCGCGCGCGUGUGACGCCAUGACAAGCCUGUUUAGUUGGUUUGCUAGCCUAAGUAUCACUUAGUGGUGAAAAUGAGUACUGGUGGAGGAAGGGCAGCCAUACUGCAUGUGUGGGAUGGGGCUGUUCAGGGCCCGCACCCAAGGUGCCCACAGAAGCAUGGCGUCUGGCUGAGGCACUGCUGAGUGGCAGAGCCCAUGCUCCCCUGCCCCGCAGAGGGCUUCGCUUUUAGGAGUGAACGGUAAGCAGAUAUUAAAUAAUCAGCCAAACAAGGCUGUCAACCCCUUUUGGAAUGAGGUAAACAAACAGUCCGUAAUUACAAUCGUGUGUGUGGCGCUGCACUCCAGAUCAAGGGCUAUAUUCAUGUAGGAAAGCGGGGGAUGCGGGGGUGGGUAUGGCUUCAGGAACAGCCUUCUGCUCCUCCCCCGUGCCAUCAUGGCUCCCUGCCUACUCUCUGCCCCCCACUUCCAGCAUCAGCACCUCCUAGGCCCCAGAGCCUAGACCCUCACAGCUGCCCCUACCUGUUCUGUGUCGAAUGCUCCUCAAAGAACCCACCGAGUGCAUCCUGCUACUCCAAGCGCUCCCUUCGCAGCACAGAUGAAGUUCGCUCCCAUCUUCCGCUGGGGCGCCAGUACCACAGAUCUCCAUAGAGGGCGUAUUGUGAAACUUUGCUGUGACUAUCAGAUGACUCCUGACUCCCGCAAAAGGUCCUUUAUGGGUGUCCCUUGGCCUUUGGCUGUCCCCUCCACCUUCUCACCCUCUAUACUCUGGCUGUGGAGUAUGCAUGAUGGAUUUUAGAAUCCUCUCCAAUGAACCUUUAGGAAUCCAUUCCUUCAAGACAGCACAUGUCCCUGGGCAACUGAACUCCUGUCCUCUGAAAGAGCAGCAAGUGUCCCCACACACCCCCGCCGCUGCCUUUUCCCAAAACAGGAUUUUUCUGUGAGGCUCUGGUUGUCCUGGAACUUGCUCUGUAGACCAGACUGGCCUCGAACUAAGAGAUCUGCCUGUCUCUGCCUCACAAGCACUAGAAUUAAAGGUGUGAGUCACCACCGCUGGUUGCAGCAACUGCUUUUAACUACUGAUCCGUCUCCACUGCCUUUCGCUAUUUUUUUUUUUUUAAUUUUUUGAGACCGGGUCUCUCAAUGACUGUGAAGUGCACCAUUUCAGCUAGACAGGCUGAUUGGAACCCUCCCCUGACUCUAUUCCUAGAGCCCUGGAGUUACAGACUCUCACAAUCCCAGAGUGCACUGGGGUGUGGGGCAUCCAAACCCCAGUCGUGAUGCUUUUGUGCCAAGCACGCCACUGUCAAUAAUGGCUCAUGUGGCCAUCCCCAAGUUCACUGUUUCUCACCUGCACUCUCAGUGAUCCGUGUCAUCUCAGGGUAGUGAUCUUUCCACUAGACUUCUAGAAGUGACAAACGGACCACCAACUAGAAACAAAUGUAGUGAUUCUAUUUUAAUGUCUCAAGGAUGCAUCUGUUUUUACUAACUUCUGUUUUCUCCAAACAGUCUCAAAAUAUCUCCACACUGGCUUCUCAGCAGAGGAGAGACAGGAACAGCAACAGAGCAUUCUAGAAGGAAUCGUAAAGCCAAGAGACACAAGCUGAGGCUGUCAGGAAAGACGUGUCAGCACCAGGAGCCACCGGACAGCACGCCUGGGCGGAUGGUGACAUCACCUCUUCUAGACCGGCUACCGAAAUGUACAGCCUGCUUCUAACCAGAGGAAAACACCAGACCAACCCAGACCGAAGGGAAAGCAUCCAGACAACUGGCUGUACGCUCCGAAUAUGUCGGGAACAUAAAGGAACUGAGGAACCACUGACUCCAGGCACUAAAGAGGCACGACAGGUAAAUACAACCUGGGAUCUGGCGUCUGUUGUUCCUAACGGUUUUGUAUCAACACUUUCUGAUUUGAGUAAUUAGUCUUUGGCUGUCUGAAGCAACACUUUUGCUGUUAGGAAAUCUAGACAAGCUAGGAGUACCGUGCCUGCAAUUUACUCUGAAAAAAAGUUUUUUUUAAAAAGGGUGCAUAUCCAAGCACAUACACAUACAUAUUUGUACAUAGAAAUAUCCUUUCUGUGUACACAGGGGUUAGAGACUGAGGAGGAGAAAGUAUGAGGCAAUGGAGGUGGGGAAGGCUCCCCUCUGUGGAACUUGCAUAUGAGGCUUCUUUACCCUGUACAGCUUGUCUAUAAGUGAAAUUCUAUCAACGUUACCAGUAUCCCAAGGAGUCACAAUGGAAAACAAGACUCCUGGCAUCUCGAGAUCAAUUAUAGAUUUGUUUCUAGUCACAAGAAACUACAUUGUAUGCAUUACACAUCUUAGGCUUCCGACAAAUUUCAUUUCCUAUUGUUUCCAUGUUACUAAUGAAAGUAACAGCAUUGGGCGGGGCCUGCAGGCCCCACCACAGCAGCCUCGAAACCCAAAUAUGCCAUACAGCGCGGUCCUUCUUUCAGGCCAGGUUUACACAGCGAAAAGUUCCUUCUGGGUUCUGAAUGUGUUCAGGAGAUGAGGGGAAAGACAAGAGUUCUAAGAACUUAUUUUGAAUACAAUCCCAAUACCCAUACUGUCUCUUGAGUGGUAGAAGAGAAAAUGGCAAGAACUUGGCUCAAAGGAUCAAAGGAAGGAGGACAAUUUGGGGUCUUUGUUAAAAUCCUUUCUUUAGCUAACCUGCUCUGCUCACUGGCAUCUGACAGAGCUUCUGAGGUCUGACAACAUCCCUGGGUCUUUUUUUCCCUGCCUCCAUUCGUCAUUCUAGACAUAGGCUGACCCUUCUCCAUGGUGCUUCCUUACCACCCAUCCCCUCAGACCCAUGAAGGACAAGGAAAGGCAUCUCUCCUGUUCAACUGUGCAUGUGCAUGUGUCUGCCUGUGUACGUAUGCAUGUGUGCACGUCCCUAUCCCAGAAAGGGGUCAUAGACAGCGCCGGUUCUUCUAUUCUAUAUUCCCUCACAGCAGCAUAUGUGUCCACUAUGGUUUAAUACACAUGUAAAGCCCAGCAUAGCCAGUUUCCAAUACCAAAACGUGGGCGAACAGCCGCUGAACAGCCUCAAAGUGACACCCGGAGAAGAGCACCCAGCACACACAAUUUGCAUUUGUAAAAUAGCUCUCCUUCAAUGGAAAUCCACCUACACUGACUCGUUUCCUCUUACUGGUGUGAAGGGUCCCUGCCACCAUUCUGUCAUCGCCACAUGUUUACGGACCUCCCCCUUUAUUACUCAUUUUAUUUUUCCCAUUAGUAUACACCUCAUGUAUGAGGUAGUAAAGGCCAGGUCCCCCACUUCUUACACUUCAAAGUUUGCCUUUUUCUUCUCCUCGCCAUAAAAUGGGCGACUGCCUGUUGUUGAAAUGACCUUGAAAAUGCAUGGGGAGGGUGGGAUGACCUCAAAGGAAAUAAAAUCCGAGCACAAUCAGUUCUAACAGUGCAGUGUAUGCUGGUAUGUUUUAAAGAAGAUGAAGACAGCUGAGUAUGGUUCUGUGUCUUCCUCUGUCUUUGGGGCCAUAUCCUUAAAUAUUAAUCUACGACGCUACCUCUAAUGGCUACCUAGAUUUCCCAUCACAUUGGCAGAACACGGUUUAUUUAAUCCUCUCCUUAUCUUCCAAAAGAAGGAUGGCUGAGACUGUAAUUGCCCCCCUCAUAACUGCUGGUUGUCUAAACACUCCCCUUAGUCAGGAACACUUCCUGCAGAUUAGAACUGUAUCUAGACAGACGCUCCAGUGACAGUCACGUCACCACGUUCCAGCCAGUAAGAUAGAAAGGAAGAGAGCAGGGCUCUGGUGGAGUGUUCUAAAAAGGCAGGCACAAAUGGAGCACAAGGGUCCUCUCCUGCUCUUCCCUAAACCUCAAUGGAGCAGCAAUCUUGAGAUCAUGACGGGGAAACGACAGGCUUGGUAGGAAGGGCUCCAUGAAAUGGCCGACAGAAACCCAAAGCCUGGUGACUUGGUGAGGCCUUCCCUCCUGUGACUGGCUGCUUUCCUCCCAGAGGGGGGAGAAUUAAAACUCCUACCUUACUCAAGCCACUCAGGGUGUCACUGUCAUCUACAGCUAAAUGCCUGGAAAGGAGAAACCACGUGGGUCCUAUCCACUUUGCACAGCUUCAAAACUAAGGCACCAAGAACUCACAGGCACCACAAUUUCCACAGAUACUCGGCCUAGUUUUGCAGAGAUGGAUCCUGAACUAGACACUGUGGGGCCUCUUCUUUUGGGAGGACUGACUAGCCCAGGGCUCGGGGGCUUCUAUCAAGAAUCCCACGGAGAACCAGCUGGGCCCAUUUGCUUAUUUUGGGUGUUCUUCCAACUCGAGAGAACUGAGGGCAAAGAGAAAAAGGGCCAUAGCUGGCCCAACCCUGUCUCAUAAACACCCAUGCUGCUGAGGCUGCUGGGCUCACCCAGAUCCCCAGAGACAGUCAGUCAGGAGCAACUAGAAGCAGCCUCGGGGCUCUGGUCCCUUUUUCAAUAGGGACAGCUAGUUUGGUUUCGAGCCCUGAAGAGAGGUAUCAGAUUCCAUGGGAGCCCAAAUGCCCAGGGGGUCCUUGGGCGCCACAAGAACCUUGACAGAGUGUGAGAUUGUCCACUCAGCCUGGCUGGGUCCGAGUUACUCAUUUUCAAUGAGUAAUAGAGGUUAGAGCUCUAGGUUAGAGGUAAUAGCAAUAGGUUAGGGCUUUGAUGUGGUUUACAAGAGUUGAAGGGGAGCGACCAUUAGAGACGUUGCUUCCCUUCUCAUGGCUGCCGGUGAUCAGCAACAUCCAGUGUAUUAUGUGUGGUCCCGCUACCGGCGUGGAUGAGACUUAGCCACACUGCAAGCUCAGGGCAGUCUAAACCAGAGGACAGCACGUCAGGCCACUGCUUACCGCGUUAUCUAAAAUGUCCAAGUUACCUCAGGUGGCAAGAACAGAAUGUCCAAGGCAACUCUAUUGUUCUCAGGUGAGGAGAGGCUGUGUGGGGGUUCCGAGGCAGUGCAGGAGGGAGGGACUCUUCUCAGAACCAGUGUGGCCAGUUCACCUGCAUCCGGUGAGUGCUGACAGUUGAAUUAACAUUGAAAAUCAGCUUAAUUUUCUGUCACAGUGGGAAAACAAGCCUGAAUUUUUUUUUUUUUUUUUGCAUCUGAAAGCUUCAUGCUAUCUGUGUCUGACUGUCUGUCUGUCUGAAAACUGAAGACUGUCUUUGUCCCAGCUUUGCUGUCUAAAGCAUGUUGGCAAAGUAUCUGGUUUUAAAUAUUUCACCAGAACAACAGAGGUCGGAGAGGCUGGUUGGGGCAGAGUUUUCUUGCUCCUGGUAUAUUUCAAGUUCUUCAGCAACAAGUGUCUUUGAGGAGCCGGACUUGCUUAAAACAAAAAAAUCAAGACAGAGGUUUUUGCUUCCAGUCAAGAGAAGCUCUGAUCCUCCCGUGACUGCUGGAGGUAGACUGGAGACUGGUAAGACACCGGAUACAAGAUACGGCUGUGUCCAGCCUGCCCCGCUCAGUCUACAGUCCACGGCCAUGAUGCUGCUUCCUCUCCUCAGGGCACCACCCAAAGGAGAUUUUUUUAUUGGCCAAACACUUGGUUGGGAGGGAGGGUCCUGUGUAUUUAUAUUACACCUCCUUUUGUUCUACCAGGGCACGUUGGGGGAGGGGAAAGAGUUAUGAUGAACUUUAAUAAAAACAAAAUUAAAAUGAUUAAACCUUUCAUAUCCUUUAGAGAUAAUCUCUCUCUUCUGCCGGCUGGUCAGACCACAGCCCGCUGCUGCUCUUCAACUCCCCCUCCCCCUAAAGAAACAAACAGAAAAAGGCUUCCCCGGGGCUAGAUUUUUGAAAUAAAUUAAAUUUGUCCUCACACACGGCAGACAGGUGUGGUGGAAACAUUCUUUCCAGACAUCCAGGAAGGAUGCCAGCAUCCUUCUCUCAAAAGGACCUUAAACAAGUGACCAGAAGACAUAGCUCCCCCCUCCAACCCCCCCUCCCCAAAAACAAAAAUCUAGACCGACAAAAUCCCAGUCUACAUUCUUGACUAAGGAAGGGCCAGAGAAAACAGUAGGGUAUGGCACAGAUCUCUCUGGUCUUAUGUGUUCCGAGGAAGUCUUCAGAUCUGCCCGGGGACUGGGCACAGAGCCACCAAGGGAUGAGGUGGCUGCCUGUCACGGGUGGGCCCCCAUAUGGAAGUCAGAGAUGGGUUAUCAGGCAUCCAGAUGGGACAGCAGCGACCUCCGGUCACAUGGCCCCAGAGACACUAAGUGACAUGAAAUCCUGCCCUGGAAAACAGGCAUGAAGCUUCGGGUGCCGGGAUGCUCUGCCUGACACGGACACCCGUUGGAGGGGCAGCUGGCCAAGGAGUUCUUUCUCUGCAUGUGGUAGCCAAGGGCUGUCCUGAUUUGUCAGGACCCAGGUUUGUACAGAAGCAGAUGAUCCAUCUGCAAGGUCAAAGGUAGAUGUCUCCCCUGUGCUGCAUGCAUAGGCAGUGGGAAUUCAAGUAGGGAUUCUGUCUUUUGAGAAUUGAGGGCAGGCAUGUUGAGCCCUGGCCUGAAGCAGACAGAGCCCCACAUGGCUGUUCUGAUCCCUGAUGAGUCCCAGCGUGGACUCCUCACUGUUCAGAGUUGACAUGAGUCCCUCAGGCCUUGUAGCUGCUCCAUUCUCCAGGUUCCGGGAGAUACGGUGCUCUGUGGCACCUAUCCUAACCUUAUCUAGAAGCUCCUUUUCCUGGAGGACUUUGGGGGCUGGAAGUCAGGAGACAUGACCCAUGCUAGGACUUAAGAGACACAGGUUACACGUCUACUCUAACCUCAACAGUGGCAACUGCUUGGCUUUCUGGUGUGUUCAUAUGUCGACUGGAGUCAAGCCAGUCAAACCAACCUUACUCCCAUGACCUGCCUGGAACCCGGUGUUCUGCCACAUCCCCACUCCUCUGCCGGAUUUCCGUUCCUCAAGGCCAACCUCCCCAAGACAGGAUCCUCCCCUUCCUUGCAGCCCCUACUGGAGAGGCCUUUCCUGAGCUCCUUAUCUGGAACAAACCCCUGUCAGUCUCCAUCCCUGGACACCAACAUCCCAUAUUUGUUGGGAGUUUGCCAAUGAGGAAGGAAAGACCUGAGUUACUUUCUUCUCCUUGCUGGCUGGUCCUCCAAACCGGUACAGCCAUCUAGAAGGUAAGGCCAGGGUUUGCAGGACAAAAGAGCUUGAGUUCCUCUAGGCUUGGGUUUUCACAGUUGUGGGGUUUUGUUCCAGAGGAGCAAGAAAAGGCAAACAUGAGCCCCUCCUCAGCCUCGAGGCAGAGCAGGCCAGAACAGUAGUGAGCAGAGAGAAGCCUAGCCGCUGGGUGGCCAAACAUGGCGAGGACGGAGCAGCUAGCUCUGGUCUGCUACAGCGCAGUAGGGCGGCAACUGUCUACAACCACUUGUGAUGUAUUUCAAAGUAAACAGAAGGGUUUAAAAGUUCCCGGCACAGAGAAGCGAUUCAUGUUCGAAGUCCACGUAGGACUUCACGCACACAGUCCAUCCCUGUGCAAUGCACAUGGGUAUCCGAUUGUCUUACCUACUCUACAGAUGUAGACAAUUACACCUCCAUAAAAAGAUACACGUAGCACAGUCCUUUUUCCUUUCCUGUUUCUUUUGAUUUUUUACUUUGUAUCUUCCUUCCUGUACCCAAUUUACACUCAUCACCUGAUUCCUCAACUCUUCAGCUCCUUGCUGGCCUUCUAGGACUUUUCUCUUUCAAAAUAUUUCAGCCCCAACUGUAUUUUCCCCCCUUCUGGAGGACACGACACAAAGGGGUAAGCUACAAGCAAAGGGCCAGAGAAAAAAGGCUUGCUGGGAAGGUGCUUGCCAAGCCAGGAGACCUGAGCUUGAUCCCUGGGACCUCUGGGACCUCCGUGAUGGGAAGAGAAAACUGACGACCACAAGUUGUCGCCUGACUGCCACACGCCCCACUAAUCAAUCAUCCGAUUUAUUUAAUAUUUUUUUAAAAAGGAAACCUUAAGUUCUCUGGUUACUUUCAGUCAGUGAAAUCCCUAGGAUGGAGGCUCGCUCGGUCUAUUUAUAAGACAUAGAAUUCUACUCCAUUCACCGAAUGUGGCAAGGCAGAAAGGGACGGUGGAGCCAUUGACCGUGAUCAGAGCAAGGAAACGAAACUUUAGCAUGGGGGUUGGGGAUUUAGCUCAGUGGUAGAGCGCUUGCCUAGGAAGCGCAAGGCCCUGGGUUCGGUCCCCAGCUCCGGAAAAAAAAAAAAAAAAGAGAGAAACUUUAGCAUGGAUCCACGCUGUGCUGUUCAGUCCUCCAUAGCACGUACGGGCAGCAUACGCGUAGCAGGGGCUCAGCUCGGGCUAACUGAACCCAUCUCACAGGGACCAGAAGACUCCCCAGUAGGGCUGGCUGUGCUUUUGGGGGAUCAGGAAGAGGGUGUGAACGGGGCCCUGCAGGACAGGUGGGACAGGGAUCAUGGUUAAGAUGCACUUGGAGAACCGAGAUCUGACCUGCUGCUGAAGAGUCUUCUGCUUGGUCUUAUUCCCUCUAAGUAAGUCUCUCUGCUGCUCUCAGCCGGGGCCCCAUGUUGAGGACAGUGUGCUGUCAGUGGAAAGCUGGAGAAGGCAUGGUAGGGCCCCCUAGCACUGAGGGAGGCCAUGGCCAGGGUCCCUCCCUCCCUCCCUUGGCUUCUGCAGCCAACUCUGCGCUCUACUCUCUUGCCACACCCAGAGUAGAGAGAGAAAAGCUGGAGAAUGUGGCAGCAGCUUAUCACAGAGUCGAACGUUACACACGGAACUGUGUUCUUCCCAAGCGCCUACACUCGCAUCCUAACCACCAGGACCUCAAAGCUUGCUUUUGUCUAGAGAGGGAGGUCUUGCCAUAGUAAUGUAGUUACAGAGAGACCUUCAGGAUGGGCCCUAACCAAUCUUUCCUUUCGACAAGAGGGUUAAACUGCUGGGGAGAUGGCUCAGAGGUUAAGAGCAUGUGAUAUUCUUCCCGAGGACCCAAGUUCGGUUCCCAUCACCCACACAAAUCAGGCGGCUUGCAACUAGUUAUCUCUAAGUCUGGGAGAUCUGGUGUGCUUUUCAGGUGUCUAUAGGAGGCAGGCACGCAUGCGGUAUCCAUGCACAUGGGCAAGCACUCACACAUGUGUGGUAUGUACGUGCACGUGUGGUAUAAUACACACGCACAGGCACUUAUAAACAGACAUAAAAUAAAAACAAACAAACCUUCCCCAAAGUGGGCGGGGGGAGACCAGAC
rnacentral:sRNA from 1 species